rnacentral:rRNA from 1 species
GACGAACGCUGGCGGCGUGCCUAAUACAUGCAAGUUGAGCGCUGAAGGUUGGUACUUGUACCAACUGGAUGAGCAGCGAACGGGUGAGUAACGCGUGGGGAAUCUGCCUUUGAGCGGGGGACAACAUUUGGAAACGAAUGAUAAUACCGCAUAAAAACUUUAAACACAAGUUUUAAGUGUGAAAGAUGCCAUUGCAUCACUCAAGAAUGAUCCCGCGUUUUAUUAGCUAGUUGGUGAGGUAAAGGCCCACCAAGGCGAUGAUACAUAGCCGACCUGAGAGGGUUGUCGGCCAAAUUGGGAAUGAGGCACGGCCCAAACCCCCUCGGGGGGCAGCAGGAGGGGAUCUUCGGACAAGGACGAAAGUCUGAACGAACAACGCCGGGGGAGUGAAGAAGGGUUUCGGAGCGUAAAACUCUGUUGGUAGAGAAGAACGUUGGGGAGAGUGGAAAACUCAUCAAGUGACGGUAACUACCCAGAAAGGGACGGCUAACUACGUG